AACGUAGGUGGCAAGCGUUAUCCGGAAUUAUUGGGCGUAAAGCGCACGUAGGCGGACCAGCAAGUCGGAUGUGAAAUCCCUCGGCUUAACCGAGGACGUGCAUUCGAAACUGCCGGCCUUGAGUACGAAAGAGGGUCGCGGAAUUCCCGGUGUAGAGGUGAAAUUCGUAGAUAUCGGGAGGAACACCGGUGGCGAAGGCGGCGACCUGGGGUCGAUACUGACGCUGAGGCGCGAAAGCCAGGGGAGCAAACGGG
rnacentral:rRNA from 1 species